rnacentral:rRNA from 1 species
GGCCGUUUACUUUAAUCCUCGGGCGUACACACACGCUACAAUGGGUGGUACAAAGAGAUGCAAUCUCGCAAGAGCAAGCAAACCUCAAAAAGCCAUCCUCAGUUCGGAUUGGAGUCUGCAACUCGACUCCAUGAAGUCGGAAUCGCUAGUAAUCGCGGAUCAGCACGCCGCGGUGAAUACGUUCCCGGGCCUU